UACGUAGGGUGCAAGCGUUGUCCGGAAUUAUUGGGCGUAAAGAGCUCGUAGGCGGUUUGUCGCGUCUGCUGUGAAAACUCAGGGCUUAACCCUGAGCUUGCAGUGGGUACGGGCAGACUAGAGUGCGGUAGGGGAGACUGGAAUUCCUGGUGUAGCGGUGAAAUGCGCAGAUAUCAGGAGGAACACCGGUGGCGAAGGCGGGUCUCUGGGCCGUAACUGACGCUGAGGAGCGAAAGCGUGGGGAGCAAACAGG
rnacentral:rRNA from 1 species